rnacentral:rRNA from 1 species
GACGAACGCUGGCGGCGUGCCUAAUACAUGCAAGUAGAACGCUGAAGAGAGGAGCUUGCUCUUCUUGGAUGAGUCGCGCACGGGUGAGUAACGCGUAGGUAACCUGCCUGGUAGCGGGGGAUAACUAGUGGAAACGAUAGCUAAUACCGCAUAACCAUGGAUGACACAUGUCAGUUAGUUGAAAGGGGCAAUUGCUCCACUACAAGAUGGACCUGCGUUGUAUUAGCUGGGAGGUGAGGUAACGGCUCACCUAGGCGACGAUACAUAGCCGACCUGAGAGGGUGGUCGGCCGCCCUGGGACGGUGACAGGGCCCAGACGCCUACGGGAGGCAGCAGUAGGGAAUCGUCGGCAAUGGGGGCAACCCUGACCGAGCAGCGCCGCGUGAGUGAAGAAGGUUGUCGGGUCGUAAAGCUCGGUUGUAAGUCAAGAACGAGUGUGAGAGUGGAAAGUUUACACUGUGACGGUAGCUUACCAGAAAGGGACGGCUAACUACGUG